rnacentral:rRNA from 1 species
UCGAACGGAGAAAGAGAGGUUCGCCUUUCUUUCUUAGUGGCGCACGGGUGAGUAAUGUAUAGCUAACCUGCCCCUUGGUGGGGGACAACAGUUGGAAACGACUGCUAAUACCCCAUACUCCUUCUUACUCUAAGGUAAGUCGGGAAAACUCCGGUGCCAAGGGAUGGGGCUGUAUCCUAUCAGCUUGUUGGUGAGGUAAUGGCUCACCAAGGCAAUGACGGGUAGCUGGUCUGAGAGGAUGAUCAGCCACACUGGAACUGAGACACGGUCCAGACUCCUACGGGAGGCAGCAGUGGGGAAUAUUGCACAAUGGGGGAAACCCUGAUGCAGCAACGCCGCGUGGAGGAUGACGCAUUUCGGUGUGUAAACUCCUUUUAUAAGGGAAGAUAAUGACGGUACCUUAUGAAUAAGCACCGGCUAACUCCGUGCCA